rnacentral:misc_RNA from 1 species
GAUGAAGAACGCAGCGAAAUGCGAUAAGUAGUGUGAAUUGCAGAAUUCAGUGAAUCAUCGAAUCUUUGAACGCACAUUGCGCCCCUUGGUACUCCAUGGGGCAUGCCUGUUCGAGCGUCAUUUACACCCUCAAGCUCAGCUUGGUGUUGGGCGUCUGUCCCGCUUCGUGCGCGGACUCGCCUCAAAUGCAUUGGCAGCGGUCUUGCCAGCUUCUCGCGCAGCACAUUGCGCUUCUAGAGGCUUUGGCGGAUCGGCGUCCAUCAAGUACACCCACAGUUUGACCUCGGAUCAGGUAGGGAUACCCGCUGAACUUAAGCAUAUCAUAAGCGGAGGA